ensembl:lncRNA LINC02411 long intergenic non-protein coding RNA 2411
GAACAGGAUGAAGCUAUUAGUGAAAACGGUGUUUUUUUCUAGUUGUAGGAAGUAAUGUCGAUAGGGAAGAAAGGGCUCGUAAGUAUGGGAGAGCAUUUUGCCUCCUAUUCUAUCGACUCUUUGAAGCAUGCAAGCACGCUGCUCCACAGGCUUAGCUGCACAGAGACGCACUACUCCAUUUACUCAUGGGCUGCCCGUGGGGCUUGGCGAAAGAGCAGGCUUGGCUUAGGGGAACUACUGAGACACAUCCAGAUUUAUUAAAAAUCAUCAACUUCAAAUUAUUUGGAUGGAAACAUUGCCAAAUCAUAGAGAUGUUUGCUACCACCCGCACACCAAGCAGCUGGGUAACUAGAAGUGCAGGAUCAGCUUAUUCACCUCCGAAAGCCUGCAUGCAACCACUGAGGCCGCCUCUAUUUUUUACAUAGUUCUACUUGGUGUAUGUAACCCCACAGAGAAACCUGGAAGAAUGCAUGAAACCUAGUAAGGCAACCAGCACAUGCAACAGAAUGAACCGUUUCUUUCCAUCUGAAUGCCUAAAUGUGGACUCUGAUCCUUUCUACCAAGUCCUAAGUUUGGGAAAAGAGGACAAGGACAGGGGCUCUGUCCCAUAUCAUAAUGUGCUUGUGAAUGGCUAAAAUUACAAUGCUGAGAUAAGUGUGUGUAAUAAAAUAAUUGCACCCCGAA